UUUCCUGUUUAAGCUGCAGUAACUUUUCUGACUAUGGAUCAUUGCUCCUUCUGUGGCAGAUUUUUACAGUUCCUCUAAUGCAUUUGGGACGACUGUCUCAAAGUAACCUACAGCUUUCCUGACAACUCCUUGCUUUCUCUCCUGCUAAGAACUGUAGCCCUUUUCUGCUGUUUUUAGAACCUUCUGCUACCAUAUCUACCACUCCCACCACCAGAUCCAUAACCACCAUCAUAGGGACUGCCUGAGCUUCUUCCACCAAAACUGCCCCCUUUCAUGAGUCCUUAAUUUGAUUGCUGUUGUCCACUAUAAUUUCCAAAAUCAUUAUAGUUCCCACCACCACCAUAGUUACCACCGCCAAAAUUUCCUCCUUCAUUGUAACCAUCAUAUCCUGGUCCACCACGACCAUAGCCCCCUCUACUACUAUAACCAGGACCGCCGCCAUAGUUGCCACCAUCACCUCCAAAUCCAUUAUAUCACCAUCACCUCCUCCAUAACUACCUCUGCUGCCACCACCUCCACCACCAUAGCCUCCUCCUCCACCAAAGUUUCCACCACAGCCAAAAUUACCUCCACCACCUCCAAAGUU
rnacentral:lncRNA from 1 species